rnacentral:rRNA from 1 species
UACGGGGGGGGCAAGCGUUGUUCGGAAUUACUGGGCGUUAAAGGGCUCGUAGGUGGCCAACUAAGUCAGACGUGAAAUCCCUCGGCUUAACCGGGGAACUGCGUCUGAUACUGGAUGGCUGGAGUAUGGGAGAGGAAUGCGGAAUUCCAGGUGUAGCGGUGGAAAUGACGUAGAUAUCUGGAGGAACACCGGUGGCGAAGGCGGCAUUCUGGACCAUUACUGACGCUGAGGAGCGAAAGCCAGGGGAGCAAACGGG